rnacentral:rRNA from 1 species
GAACGAACGCUGGCGGCAUGCCUAACACAUGCAAGUCGAACGAGACCUUCGGGUCUAGUGGCGCACGGGUGCGUAACACGUGGGAAUUUGCCUCGGGGUAUGGAAUAACUCAGGGAAACUUGAGCUAAUACCAUAUAAUGUCUUCGGACCAAAGAUUUAUCGCCCUGAGAUAAGCCCGCGUAGGAUUAGCUAGUUGGUGAGGUAACGGCUCACCAAGGCUACGAUCGGUAGCUGGUCUGAGAGGAUGAUCAGCCACAUUGGGACUGAGACACGGCCCAAACUCCUACGGGAGGCAGCAGUGGGGAAUAUUGGACAAUGGGCGCAAGCCUGAUCCAGCCAUGCCGCGUGAGUGAUGAAGGCCUUAGGGUUGUAAAGCUCUUUUACCAGGGAUGAUAAUGACAGUACCUGGAGAAUAAGCUCCGGCUAACUCCGUG